AGAAAAUUUCGAAUUGAAAUAAAAUUGCCUCAUCAAAAAUACAAAAAUAGAAAAGAAUAUAAAAUCUUAAUUAAGAUCUCCAGAUAACUGUGUACUCCAUUAAACGAAAUCAUCAAGCGUACAAUGAAGAGCGAUCCCCAACCCUGGUAUAAAUAAUAAAUAAUUGCCUCAAGUCCUAGAGUAAAAAAGUAAAAAAUUAAAUGUCACGAGACCAAUAACAAGACACGCCCCAUUUGCUCGUCCGUCUCGACGUAUUAUCCCUUAAAAACAAUUCCUAGAUAAUUUCAAUGAUGUAUUUUCAAGAACAGGGGUCAUUCGUGAGGUGUUGAGGUCAUUGAAAGAAAAAAAUAUUUCUCAAGUAUUACGUAAUACUGGCUUUUACCAUUGCAUACUUGGUUGCUUAUAACCUCAAACUUUGUGAAGAGAGUGCAUUGGCCCCAAGCCCAACAUUUAUUAUAAAUUCUUUCAUUUUUUUUUCCCUUGCCACAUGUCCAAUUGUCAUAAACUAUUCUCGAUGGUCUAUAGUUGAAGUUGUCUUGACUCUCGCAAACUCCAACACGCAUAUCGAUUCGACCUCGUGCACUCUCGAUACAUUUCUUGGAUUAUUCAUUUUCCAAUCCUUGAAAUUGAACGACUUCAUGAUAUCCCCAGGUGAAUGAUGAAAUAGAAACAGCAGAUGAUGAUGAUGAUUAUGCAAUGAAUUGUCAAUCGAUAAUUGAUGAUACGGGGCCAUUCUCUUGACGAUUGAAAAGCAAAUGAGGAAUAAAAAAAGUGUUAAUUGGAGAUAAUGGAGUGGUGGAGUGGUGAGUGGUGCAAAGUUCAUUCUGAAUGAGCGAUUGAACUGAGGGCAAAGGCUGGAGAGAUGAUUUUUCGAUGGUUUAAGACAGUGCUCGAAAAAAAGAGGAAUUCUCUUUAGGAUCAUGAAGGCGGUCGUCGAUCCUAAGAGGCUGUGACGUAAUGGAAAAACGAAAAAGAAAAAUCGAGAAAACGUGCGAGCCAUCCUCAGGGGAUUGAGUGGAUUAAAGGGAUUAAUUACUGAAUAAGUCAACUCGUCGACGACCAGAAAUUUAUCUACGAGUUAUUGAUAACGAGUGGAUUAUCGAGGAU